rnacentral:rRNA from 1 species
GGUUUUUAGAUUUUAUUAAAAAUCAAGCCUGCUCAAUGCUGAGUAAAUAGCCGCAGAAUUUUAACUGUGCAAAGGUAGCAUAAUCAUUUGUCUUUUAAUUGAGGACUAGAAUGAAAGGUUUAACUAUGUAAUUUUGUCUUAUAGUAAUAUUUUGAACUUAAUUUUUUAGUAAAAAAGCUAAAAUUCAUCUUAAAGACGAGAAGACCCUAUUAAGCUUUACAAUUUAAUAUUAUUUUCAAACUAAUUAAAAAAUUGUUCUGCUGGGGCAGCAAAUAAAAAAAUAUUAUUUACAUAUUGUGAUAAAUAAAUCUAGAAAAAUCAAUAAUUUGUUAAAAAAUAAUAAGUUACUAUAGGGAUAACAGCAUAAUUUUUUUAAAGAGUUCUCAUCAACAAAAAAGUUUGUGACCUCGAUGUUGGAUUAAGAAUCCUAUUUUACGCAGUAGUAGAAAAAGGGAGUCUGUUCGACUUUUAAAUUCUUCCA